GUGAAGAUGCAGUGUACCCGCGGCAAGACGGAAAGACCCCGUGAACCUUUACUAUAGCUUGACACUGAACAUUGAGCCUUGAUGUGUAGGAUAGGUGGGAGGCUUUGAAGCGUGGACGCCAGUCUGCGUGGAGCCAACCUUGAAAUACCACCCUUUAAUGUUUGAUGUUCUAACGUUGGCCCCUUACCGGGGUUGCUGACAGUGUCUGGUGGGUAGUUUGACUGGGGCGGUCUCCUCCCAAAGCGUAACGGAGGAGCACGAAGGUUAGCUAAUCCUGGUCGGACAUCAGGAGGUUAGUGCAAUGGCAUAAGCUAGCUUGACUGCGAGCGUGACGGCGCGAGCAGGUGCGAAAGCAGGUCAUAGUGAUCCGGUGGUUCUGAAUGGAAGGGCCAUCGCUCAACGGAUAAAAGG
rnacentral:rRNA from 1 species